GAGAGUUGAUCAUGGCUCAGGAUGAACGCUAGCUACAGGCUUAACACAUGCAAGUCGAGGGGCAGCAUGAUCAAAGCUUGCUUGAUUGAUGGCGACCGGCGCACGGGUGAGUAACGCGUAUCCAACCUUCCCCUUAGUAGGGCAUAGCCCGGCGAAAGUCGGAUUAAUACCCUAUGUUAUUCGUCGAGGACAUCUGAAGUGAAUCAAAGAUUUAUCGCUAAGGGAUGGGGAUGCGUCUGAUUAGGUUGUUGGCGGGGUAACGGCCCACCAAGCCAUCGAUCAGUAGGGGUUCUGAGAGGAAGGUCCCCCACAUUGGUACUGAGACACGGACCAAACUCCUACGGGAGGCAGCAGUGAGGAAUAUUGGUCAAUGGGCGAGAGCCUGAACCAGCCAAGUAGCCGUGCAGGAUGACUGCCCUAUGGGUUGUAAACUGCUUUUAUACGGGGAUAAAGUGAGGUAUGCAUACCUUUUUGUAGGUACCGUAUGAAUAAGGACCGGCUAAUUCCGUGCCAGCCGCCGC
rnacentral:rRNA from 1 species